GCAACAUAUAUCUGCGUGACCUUCCUUGGCGGCGCAGAGUAAAGCGGACCAGUUAUCCGCAUCCGCCGCAUUUGGAUCCGCUCCCAUUUCGAGCAGUUCCCGAACGAAACGGUUAAGACACACUCGAGAAAUUUUCCAUUACCUCAUCGCGAUCGUCGAUUUGCACCUGUUUCCCCUGCAGGAAUUGCUGGAAGCCUUCAAAGUUAUCAUCGCUGAUAAAUCCAGUCAACGAACGGAAGCAAAUCGACACCAUCGAUUCGGAUCGAUGGAGCGUCUACAAAAAUCGAAGGUAAACGGUAUCAACAUUUGUCGUCGGCGACACACUUGAUAAACAUCAAGGUAAUUAUUAAUAAACAGCAAAUUUAAUACAGAACGGGAUAACCACCUCCAGAAAAAACUUCACUGCAGUGCUGGUAGUCAUUGUUACGGUCCAUAAACAAGAGAUUAUUGAAACAUUCACAUACACAACACAUUAAUUAAUUAUUUAGUCCGCUAAACACGAGUGCAACAGACACACAAAUCGUGAAGGUACUUAGUUAGAAAGACAAAAUUUAAGCCCGUGCUUUUAAUACCGAGCGCAUGUGUCGCGAUAACUAAAUAAAUAUUAAGCAACGAACAGAGAGAUGGAAAUUCACAAAACCGAAUUGAAAACUAAAAAAAACUUAGUAACAAACGCCUCCCACGCGCGUAUUUCACUCGAAUAUAUAAUACUGAAGUGAAAACGGCGAAUUUCAUGCCAACUUCCUGGCGAAUAAAUAAAUAUGUCGUAAAGAAAUCCAUUUUAAUGACAUAAAAACACACGCAGAAAGUGGACAAAUAACAAUACGAUAUUUACACGAUAUAUAAAUAUCUCGUUAUCGUGAUGCUACGUUUAUUUAACGAUUACUCGGUUCUGGAAACAAAUUAUCCUGAUGCACUAAUUUCUAGUGGCCAAGUCAAGUAGGUAUGUAGUUAAGCCAAGUUUGUGCACUCUGCAAAUAUUUAUUUUGGAAGCCUUGGCUGAAAUUGAGCGUAGACGAGACACAAGUGCAAUAUAAAUCAUAACUCAUUGAAAACUGUUGUUGCGUUAUCGCCGCUUGUUUCAUCUCAAGCCAGAAGCGUGUAUUAAUAAAACAACAAAGCAAAUGUGCACACAGUUAGUGUACCACCUAGAAUAGUGUUAAAAAACGUGUAGAUAGUGUGACAAUAAAUUGAAAUAACAGUGGAGCGUGACGAAAAUGUGCGAUUAGUGUCACAAUACAAGUAAAAA